UACGUAGGUGGCAAGCGUUGUUCGGAAUUACUGGGCGUAAAGCGUGCGCAGGCGGCUUUGCAAGACAGAUGUGAAAUCCCCGGGCUUAACCUGGGAACUGCAUUUGUGACUGCAUGGCUGGAGUGCGGCGAGAGGGGGAUGGAAUUCCGCGUGUAGCAGUGAAAUGCGUAGAUAUGCGGAGGAACACCGAUGGCGAAGGCAAUCCCCUGGGCCUGCACUGACGCUCAUGCACGAAAGCGUGGGGAGCAAACAGG
rnacentral:rRNA from 1 species